ensembl:misc_RNA Metazoa_SRP Metazoan signal recognition particle RNA
GCUGGGUGUGGUGGUGUAGGCCUGUAGUCCCAGCUACUUGGGAGGCUGAUGCAGAAGGAUUGCUUGAGCCUAGGAGUUCAAGGCUUCAGUGAGCUAUGAUUGCCACUGCGUUCUAGCCUGCGCAACAGAGUGAGAUCCUGUCUCUU